GCUUUAACCAGUAAAAUAUGCCUUUUGGUCACAAGAAGAAGAUAUCUCUAGGCAUGAAAAAACUGCUCUGUUUCAAUCAAUCUUUCUCAGUAAAACAAUGCUCUUUGGUUAUUGGAAGAAAGUUGCAGAAAUCUCUGGGAUGUAACGCUAGCUUGAUUGCAUGCUAGCUGCUCAUUGGCAAGAAGGAACUGCUCUGUUUCAAUAACUUCAGUCCUUCCAAGCUCAUCCAACUUUCUCUCUUCAAACAACUGGCUGCCUUUGAAAGAACAUUCCAGGAAUCUCGAGUGGCUAAACUUAUGUAUAAGUUGAAACAGUAUUGAGUGUUCUCUAUGUCAGCAUCCUUUUCUGGUUUUCACCGAAUCUCACAGUUGAGCAGCUUUCUUCCAACUUCUGGGACCUGGUGGUAUCACUAUGAAUAAAGCAGCUCAAGUGCUGUUUUCGGUAUGUAUGACCAACCAAUGACUGCUGGGCAGUGUAACAUGAUUAUUAAGAAGUUGGGCAAAUACAAACAAACAUUAAGAGAAUUACAUUUAUAUGCACAUUUGGUGUUCUGUGUCAUACAAGGAGGGAAUAGCAAAGUGUGAUAACCAGUUAUUCAACUUUAUGAAACCUAUGCUAGCUGGCAAGAACGUAUGCUAGUGGUUGUUAUGUUCCUGAAAGAACUUAGUGAAUUGAUAGCUCAUCAUCAUCUCCUCCGUUUUGACCAACGUCUCUCAAGUCGUAACUUCAACUUUGAUUUUGCCUAUUUACAACUGUGAUCAAUCCACAGGUAAUUUCUUAUCUCCUUACCGGUUAGCUUCAUUUUUAUGAUGAAUAAACAUUGAAUAAAUAAUUAAAGCACCCAGUACAUUACUACGUGGGUAAUUAAGAUACAAAUAUUUUGCAACAAAAAGUCAAAUUGUUACUCAUAAUUCAGUUUUAACUUCCUCUGCACUUACUACGGAAUUUUUAACUUCAUAAUCCGGUCUUACAUCUUAUUUUCAACAGAAUUUUAUAAAAUUUUUGUUUAAUUGUAUGUCUUAGUUAUAAGCAUAGCAUUAUUUGAAGAAAGAAUGCCUUGUACAGGACUUGUCCUUUCAUUUGAGCUACUACUCCUCUGGUCAACAUUCAGUCUAUACCAAACAAGUGCAAAAAAUUGGGUGGUUAUAUUAUUUGGCAUUUUAGUUAACAAUUGAAUA